rnacentral:rRNA from 1 species
GACGAACGCUGGCGGCGUGCCUAAUACAUGCAAGUCGAACGCUGAAGGAGGAGCUUGCUCCUCUGGAUGAGUUGCGAACGGGUGAGUAACGCUUAGGUAACCUGCCGGGUAGCGGGGGAUAACUAUUGGAAACGAUAGCUAAUACCGCAUAAGAGUUCAUGCUGCAUUACAUUUCUUUGAAAGUUGCAGUUGCUUCACUUCCAGAAGGAUCUGCGUUGUAUUGGCUAGUUGGGGGGGUAACGGCUCACCAAGGCGACGAUACGUAGCCGAACUGAGAGGGUGAUCGGCCAGGAUGGGACUGGGAAACGGCCCAGACUCCUGGGGGAGGCAGCGGUAGGGACUCGUCGGGAAUGGACGGAAGUCUGACCGGACAACGCCGAAUGAGUGCAGAAGGUUUUCGGAUCCUAAAGGUCUGUUGUAGGAGAAGAACGAGUGUGAGAGUGGAAAGUUCACUCUGUGACGGUAUCUUACCAGAAAGAGACGGCUAACUACGUG